GACGAACGCUGGCGGCGUGCUUAACACAUGCAAGUCGAACGGAGAAUUUUACUUCGGUGAAAUUCUUAGUGGCGAACGGGUGAGUAACGCGUAGACAACCUGCCUCUUAGAUGGGGACAACAUCGCGAAAGCGGUGCUAAUACCGAAUGAAGUGGAGCUUCCGCAUGGAAGCAUCACCAAAGGUGGCCUCUAUUUAUAAGCUACCACUGAGAGAUGGGUCUGCGUCUGAUUAGCUAGUUGGCGGGGUAAUGGCCCACCAAGGCGACGAUCAGUACCCGGUCUGAGAGGAUGAACGGCCACAUUGGGACUGAGACACGGCCCAAACUCCUACGGGAGGCAGCAGUGGGGAAUAUUCCGCAAUGGACGAAAGUCUGACGGAGCAACGCCGCGUGAGUGAAGAAGGUUUUCGGAUCGUAAAGCUCUGUUGUUUGAGACGAAUGUGCAGACUUUGAAUAAGGGUUUGUAAUGACGGUAUUAAACGAGAAAGCCACGGCUAACUACGUGCCAGCCGCCGCCGUAA
rnacentral:rRNA from 1 species